UUCCCUUUAGCGCAAUGAAUAUAGCGCGUUGGACUUUUAAUCCAAAGGUUGUGGGUUCGAAUCCCACCUGGGAUG